CCUACGGGUGGGCAGCAGUGAGGAAUAUUGGUCAAUGGGCGCGAGCCUGAACCAGCCAAGUCGCGUGAGGGAUGAAGGUUCUAUGGAUCGUAAACCUCUUUUAUAAGGUAAUAAAGUGUGGGACGUGUCCUAUUUUGUAUGUACCUUAUGAAUACGGAUGGGCUAACUCCGUGCCAGCAGCCGCGGUAAUACGGAGGAUCCGAGCGUUAUCCGGAUUUAUUGGGUUUAAGGGGUGCGUACGCGGCCUUUUAAGUCAGCGGUGAAAGUCGGUGGCUCAACCAUAGAAUUGCCGUUGAAACUGGGGGGCUUGAGUAUGUGUGAGGCAUGCGGAAUGCGUGGUGUAGCGGUGAAAUGCUUAGAUAUCACGCAGAACCCCGAUUGCGAAGGCAGCCUGCCAAUCCAUGACUGACGCUGAUGCACGAAAGCGUGGGGAUCAAACAGGAUUAGAUACCCUGGUAGUC
rnacentral:rRNA from 1 species